AUAAAAAAAAUUAUUUAAGUUAAUUUUGUUUAAGUAAGUUAAUUAAAAUAUUAUAGGUUUUAUUAUAUAAAUUGAAAAAAUAAAUUUAAUUAUAGUUUAAUAGUAUUGUGAAAGAAUAUAAAUUUAUAUAUAAAAAAGAAAAAUUUAUUUUUUGUACCUUGUGUAUCAGGGUUAAUUAAAUAUAAAAUUUAUAUAAAUUAUUCUCGAAUUUAAAAGAGCUAAUAUUUUAUAUUUUUUAUUGUGGAAUAAAUAUUAUUAAUAAAAUAUUAGAAAUGAAACGUUAUUCGUUUUUAAAUAUAUCUAGUUUUUAAAGAAAAAAAUUUAAUUUGUUAAUUAUUUAGAAUUUUUUUUAUUAUUAAAAAAAUUAUAAUAAUUAGUUAUAUUUUAAGGGAUAAGCUUUAAAAUAAAUUUUUAUAAAAAUAAUAAUUUAUUUAUUAAUUGUAGGAUUAGAAUUUUUUAUCAUUAAAAAAAUGUUAUAAUUUAUUAUAUUUGAUUUAAUAUUUAUAUUUUUUUUAAGUUUUUUAUUUAAAUGUUAUUUAAAAUUUUAUUUAUUUAGUAAUAAUGAUUAAAUUAGUAUAAUUUAUUUUAAAAAUAUUUUUUAGUAUUAAGGUUUUUUAAAGGAAUUCGGCAAAAGAUUUUUUUACCUGUUUAUUAAAAACAUGUCCUUUUGAUUUUUAUAUAAGGUCUAACCUGCCCAAUGAUGAGAAUUAAAUGGCCGCGGUAUCCUGACCGUGCAAAGGUAGCAUAAUCAUUAGUUUUUUAAUUGAAAGCUGGAAUGAAAGGUUGAAUAAGAAAAAUACUGUCUCUAAAAAAUUUAUAUUAGAACUUUAUUUUUAAGUAAGAAAGCUUAAAUUUUUUUUAAAGACGAGAAGACCCUUUAGAGUUUUAUUUAAAUUAAAAUUUUAUUUUUUUAGUAUUAAUUUAUUUAAUUUUUUAAUUUAAAUUUGAUUGGGGUGAUUGAAAAAUUUAAUAAACUUUUUUUUUAUUUUUACAUUAAUUUAUGAUUUUAUGAUCCAAUGUUUUUGAUUAUAAGAAUAAAUUACCUAAGGGAUAACAGCGUUAUUUUUUUUGAGAGUUCUUAUCGAAAAAAAAGAUUGCGACCUCGAUGUUGGAUUAAAAUUAAAUUAUGGUGUAGAAGCUAUAACUUUAGGUCUGUUCGACCUUUAAAAUUUUACAUGAUCUGAGUUUAAACCGGUGUGAGCCAGGUUGGUUUCUAUCUUAAAAUUUUUAUAAUAUUUUAGUACGAAAGGAUCAAGUAUUAAAUUAAUAAUUUUAUUUACAGAAUAUUAUU
rnacentral:rRNA from 1 species